rnacentral:tRNA from 1 species
UUAAUAAACGCGUAGGUUACUACUAAUCGAACCUACACCAAUGGCCAGUAUAGUCAU